UACGUAGGGUGCGAGCGUUAAUCGGAAUUACUGGGCGUAAAGCGUGCGCAGGCGGCGCGUUAAGACAGGUGUGAAAGCCCCGAGCUUAACUUGGGAUUGCGCUUGUGACUGGCGUGCUGGAGUGUGGCAGAGGGAGGUGGAAUUCCACGUGUAGCAGUGAAAUGCGUAGAGAUGUGGAGGAACACCGGUGGCGAAGGCGGCCAACUGGACCACAACUGACGCUGAGGCGCGAAAGCGUGGGGAGCAAACAGG
rnacentral:rRNA from 1 species